rnacentral:rRNA from 1 species
GAUGAACGCUCGCUACAGGCUUAACACAUGCAAGUCGAGGGGAAACGACAUCGAAAGCUUGCUUUUGAUGGGCGUCGACCGGCGCACGGGUGAGUAACGCGUAUCCAACCUGCCCAUCACUUGGGAAUAACCUUGCGAAAGUAAGACUAAUACCCAAUGAUAUCCCACGAAGGCAUCGGAAUGGGAUUAAAGAUUUAUCGGUGAUGGAUGGGGAUGCGUCUGAUUAGCUUGUUGGCGGGGUAACGGCCCACCAAGGCAACGAUCAGUAGGGGUUCUGAGAGGAAGGUCCCCCACAUUGGAACUGAGACACGGUCCAAACGCCUACGGGAGGCAGCAGUGAGGAAGAUUGGUCAAUGGGCGAGAGCCUGAACCAGCCAAGUAGCGUGCAGGAAGACGGCCCUAUGGGUUGUAAACUGCUUUUAUAAGGGAAUAAAGUGGGUCACGUGUGACUUUUUGCAUGUACCUUAUGAAUAAGGACCGGCUAAUUCCGUG